rnacentral:rRNA from 1 species
AACGAACGCUGGCGGCAUGCCUAACACAUGCAAGUCGAACGAGACCUUCGGGUCUAGUGGCGCACGUGUGCGUAACGCGUGGUAACCUACCCUUAGGUUCGGAAUAACUCCCCGAAAGGGGUGCUAAUACCAGAUAAUGUCUUCGGACCAAAGAUUUAUCGCCUUUGGAUGGGGCCGCGUUUGAUUAGCUGGUUGGUAGGGUAAAAGCCUACCAAGGCGACGAUCCAUAGCUGGUCUGAGAGGAUGAUCCGCUACACUGGGACUGAGACACGGCCCAGACUCCUACGGGAGGCAGCAGUGGGGAAUAUUGGACAAUGGGCGAAAGCCUGAUCCAGCCAUGCCGCGUGAGUGAUGAAGGCGUUAGGGUUGUAAAGCUCUUUUACCCGGGAUGAUAAUGACAGUACCGGGAGAAUAAGCUCCGGCUAACUCCGUG